AGAGUUUGAUCAUGGCUCAGAUUGAACGCUGGCGGCAGGCCUAACACAUGCAAGUCGAACGGUAACAGGAAGCAGCUUGCUGCUUCGCUGACGAGUGGCGGACGGGUGAGUAAUGUCUGGGAAACUGCCUGAUGGAGGGGGAUAACUACUGGAAACGGUGGCUAAUACCGCAUAACGUCGCAAGACCAAAGAGGGGGGACCUUCGGGCCUCUUGCCAUCAGAUGUGCCCAGAUGGGAUUAGCUUGGUUGGUGAGGUAACGGCUCACCAAGGCGACGAUCCCUAGCUGGUCUGAGAGGAUGACCAGCCACACUGGAACUGAGACACGGUCCAGACUCCUACGGGAGGCAGCAGUGGGGAAUAUUGCACAAUGGGCGCAAGCCUGAUGCAGCCAUGCCGCGUGUAUGAAGAAGGCCUUCGGGUUGUAAAGUACUUUCAGCGGGGAGGAAGGUGUUGUGGUUAAUAACCGCAGCAAUUGACGUUACCCGCAGAAGAAGCACCGGCUACUCCGUGCCAGCAGCCGCGGUAAUACGGAGGGUGCAAGCGUUAAUCGGAAUUACUGGGCGUAAAGCGCACGCAGGCGGUCUGUCAAGUCGGAUGUGAAAUCCCCGGGCUCAACCUGGGAACUGCAUUCGAAACUGGCAGGCUUGAGUCUUGUAGAGGGGGGUAGAAUUCCAGGUGUAGCGGUGAAAUGCGUAGAGAUCUGGAGGAAUACCGGUGGCGAAGGCGGCCCCCUGGACAAAGACUGACGCUCAGGUGCGAAAGCGUGGGGAGCAAACAGGAUUAGAUACCCUGGUAGUCCACGCCCGUAAACGAUGUCUACUUGGAGGUUGUGCCCUUGAGGCGUGGCUUCCGGAGCUAACGCGUUAAGUAGACCGCCUGGGGAGUACGGCCGCAAGGUUAAAACUCAAAUGAAUUGACGGGGGCCCGCACAAGCGGUGGAGCAUGUGGUUUAAUUCGAUGCAACGCGAAGAACCUUACCUGGUCUUGACAUCCACAGAAGAAUCCAGAGAUGGAUUUGUGCCUUAGGGAACUGUGAGACAGGUGCUGCAUGGCUGUCGUCAGCUCGUGUUGUGAAAUGUUGGGUUAAGUCCCGCAACGAGCGCAACCCUUAUCCUUUGUUGCCAGCGAUUAGGUCGGGAACUCAAAGGAGACUGCCAGUGAUAAACUGGAGGAAGGUGGGGGAUGACGUCAAGUCAUCAUGGCCCUUACGACCAGGGCUACACACGUGCUACAAUGGCGCAUACAAAGAGAAGCGACCUCGCGAGAGCAAGCGGACCUCAUAAAGUGCGUCGUAGUCCGGAUUGGAGUCUGCAACUCGACUCCAUGAAGUCGGAAUCGCUAGUAAUCGUGGAUCAGAAUGCCACGGUGAAUACGUUCCCGGGCCUUGUACACACCGCCCGUCACACCAUGGGAGUGGGUUGCAAAAGAAGUAGGUAGCUUAACCUUCGGGAGGGCGCUUACCACUUUGUGAUUCAUGACUGGGGUGAAGUCGUAACAAGGUAACCGUAGGGGAACCUGCGGUUGGAUCACCU
rnacentral:rRNA from 1 species